rnacentral:tRNA from 1 species
GGGCGGCUAGCUCAGCGGUUAGAGCACUUGCUUCACACGCAAGGGGUCACAGGUUCAAAUCCUGUGCUGCCCA